GGGGAAUAUUGGACAAUGGGCGAAAGCCUGAUCCAGCCAUGCCGCGUGUGUGAAGAAGGUCUUCGGAUUGUAAAGCACUUUAAGUUGGGAGGAAGGGCAGUUACCUAAUACGUAAUUGUUUUGACGUUACCGACAGAAUAAGCACCGGCUAACUCUGUGCCAGCAGCCGCGGUAAUACAGAGGGUGCAAGCGUUAAUCGGAAUUACUGGGCGUAAAGCGCGCGUAGGUGGUUUGUUAAGUUGAAUGUGAAAUCCCCGGGCUCAACCUGGGAACUGCAUCCAAAACUGGCAAGCUAGAGUAUGGUAGAGGGUGGUGGAAUUUCCUGUGUAGCGGUGAAAUGCGUAGAUAUAGGAAGGAACACCAGUGGCGAAGGCGACCACCUGGACUGAUACUGACACUGAGGUGCGAAAGCGUGGGGAGCAAACA
rnacentral:rRNA from 1 species